rnacentral:rRNA from 1 species
CACGUAGGGUGCGAGCGUUGUCCGGAAUUAUUGGGCGUAAAGAGCUCGUAGGCGGUGUGUCGCGUCGGCCGUGAAAACCUGCAGCUUAACUGUGGGCUUGCGGUCGAUACGGGCAUCACUGGAGUUCGGCAGGGGAGACUGGAAUUCCUGGUGUAGCGGUGGAAUGCGCAGAUAUCAGGAGGAACACCGGUGGCGAAGGCGGGGUCUCUGGGGCCCGAUACUGACGCUGAGAAGCGAAAGCGUGGGGAGCGAACAGG